rnacentral:rRNA from 1 species
GAUGAACGCUGGCGGCGUGCCUAAUACAUGCAAGUCGAGCGAACAGACGAGGAGCUUGCUCCUCUGAUGUUAGCGGCGGACGGGUGAGUAACACGUGGAUAACCUACCUAUAAGACUGGGAUAACUUCGGGAAACCGGAGCUAAUACCGGAUAACAUGUUGAACCGCAUGGUUCAACAGUGAAAGACGGUCUUGCUGUCACUUAUAGAUGGUUCCGCGCCGCAUUAGCUAGUUGGUAAGGUAACGGCUUACCAAGGCAACGAUGCGUAGCCGACCUGAGAGGGUGAUCGGCCACACUGGAACUGAGACACGGUCCAGACUCCUACGGGAGGCAGCAGUAGGGAAUCUUCCGCAAUGGGCGAAAGCCUGACGGAGCAACGCCGCGUGAGUGAAGAAGGUCUUCGGAUCGUAAAACUCUGUUAUUAGGGAAGAACAAAUGUGUAAGUAACUAUGCACGUCUUGACGGUACCUAAUCAGAAAGCCACGGCUAACUACGUG